rnacentral:rRNA from 1 species
GACGAACGCUGGCGGCGUGCUUAACACAUGCAAGUCGAACGGAAAGGCCCUGCUUUUGUGGGGUGCUCGAGUGGCGAACGGGUGAGUAACACGUGAGUAACCUGCCCUUGACUUUGGGAUAACUUCAGGAAACUGGGGCUAAUACCGGAUAGGAGCUCCUGCUGCAUGGUGGGGGUUGGAAAGUUUCGGCGGUUGGGGAUGGACUCGCGGCUUAUCAGCUUGUUGGUGGGGUAGUGGCUUACCAAGGCUUUGACGGGUAGCCGGCCUGAGAGGGUGACCGGCCACAUUGGGACUGAGAUACGGCCCAGACUCCUACGGGCGGCAGCAGGGGGGAAUAUUGCACAAUGGGCGGAAGCCUGAUGCAGCAACGCCGCGUGCGGGAUGACGGCCUUCGGGUUGUAAACCGCUUUCGCCUGUGACGAAGCGUGAGUGACGGUAAUGGGUAAAGAAGCACCGGCUAACUACGUG